GCAUAUCAAUAAGCGGAGGAAAAGAAACUAACAAGGAUUCCCCUAGUAACUGCGAGUGAAGCGGGAAGAGCUCAAAUUUAAAAUCUGACAGUCUUUGGCUGUCCGAGUUGUAAUCUAGAGAAGUGCUAUCCGCGCUGGACCGUGUACAAGUCUCCUGGAAUGGAACAUCAUAGAGGGUGAGAAUCCCGUCUCUGACACGGACUUCCAGGGCUUUUGUGAUACGCUCUCAAAGAGUCGAGUUGUUUGGGAAUGCAGCUCUAAAUGGGUGGUAAAUUCCAUCUAAAGCUAAAUAUUGGCGAGAGACCGAUAGCGAACAAGUACCGUGAGGGAAAGAUGAAAAGAACUUUGGAAAGAGAGUUAAACAGUACGUGAAAUUGUUGAAAGGGAAACGCUUGAAGUCAGUCACAUUGACUAGGGAUCAACCUUGCUUCUUUUGCUUGGUGUACUUCCUAGUUGAUGGGCCAGCAUCAAUUUUGACCAGUGGAUAAAGGUCAAGGGAAUGUGNCAUCUUCGGAUGUGUUAUAGCCUUUGAUUGAUACAUUGGUUGGGAUUGAGGAACUNNNCAUGCCGUUNNNNNNNNNNCCACGAUCAUGCUUAGGAUGUUGGCAUAA
rnacentral:rRNA from 1 species